rnacentral:sRNA from 4 species
ACGCCAGCAAAAUCUGGCGUCGGGAUUGGUCUCCCGGAUUACUACUCAACGCAUACCGCGUUAAGCGGUUUUUUU